rnacentral:rRNA from 1 species
AUGCCUCGACAGUAUAUUUAUCCGGACACCAUCGAAGAAGCGGUGCAGAGAAUAAUCCCUUAUCUAGAGGAUACAAGCAGUACUGCACACAAGGCCAUCUAUUUUAAUGGAUGGCAAGGGCUGGGUGCUUCCGCGGUGCUUAGAGCCAUAGCCAAAGACCCUCCGCCAUCUCUGCUGAACAAAUUCGACAAGAUCGUCCACGUCGAUUGCUCGAGGUGGAAAAGCCGACGAGCACUCCAGAGGACAAUCGCACAAGAACUCAAGCUUCCUCAGCGGGUAAUGGAUAUGUUUGAUAGGCAAGAUGAAGAAGAUGAUUUUAAAGGGGCAGAUGAAAGUUCAAGAGCUGAGAUACAAGAUGUUGGGGCAGAGAUCUAUCAGGUUGUACAACAACAGAAAAAAUUACUGGUCUUCCAUAAUGGGAGCGGCAACACAAAUGACCUGAAUGAUUUUGGCAUUCCUCUGUCAGUGUGGGGUACUCGAGUAUUGUGGACAUUUCGAGGAGGGCUUCGGCUAAACCCAGGAAUUAAUGAGAAGGUGGAUGAGUCACAUCUUUUUCUUUAUCGUGAGAGGAGCCCUUUAGGGUGGAAUUAUUUGUUGCAAAAAGAGGCUAGAGAAAUUGCAGGUUACACAUAUAAGCUUGAUGAAGUAGCCGAAGAGUGUUGCUUGUAUAUGUUGUCACUAAAUUCUCAAGGAGGCAAUAUCAUGGACUACGACUGGGCUACCCAUGCUUCGAGCUAUUGGGUUUGUGAUGGGAUAAUACAGGGAGGUCAGGGUGAUGAAGCAUGGGAGGUUGCUGCUGCUCUACAUAAUCAAAUAUGUAUAGAGGAUUAUUCAUCUAAUGCACUACCCUCAUUUGGUCAGGAACUAGUGACUCCUCGGAAACAGUGGAUAUUGGCCAGGGACGACUUUGUUGUGCAUCCAGAGUCAACGUCCUUUUUCCUUACUGCAGUCGCAAGCCAGUCUGAUCAUUCAUUAAGACACUUACCUUAUGACAUGUUUCAUCAAUCGGACAAACUUUGUGUGCUCAAGUUAUGCCGCUGCACCUUCAAAUUUUCCUCUCCUCCUUUUCAUUGUUGCCACAAGUUAAGAUUCCUUGGAUUAGAUAGUUGCCAGGAUCUACAACCAGAAGAAGAAAAGAAGCAAGAUGGACAAACAACGGAUUUUUUUAAGAGCCUAUGGGUGAUAGACAUAUGCAAUACGGACUGGGAUAUGCCUGCAUCACCAGAUAUAAUAGAAAAGAUGGCCGCGAACAUUAGGGAGGUACAUAUAAAGAAAGGAAGGAUUUGGUGCCACAAUUUUGCAUGGCGACAACUGCAGAGCCUUCACAAGCUUCGAGUGAUUGAUCCUACUUCCCCUUGGCAGACGUGCAAAAUGGAUGAAUUCACAGACAUGAUGAAGUUGGAGUUCCUCGACCUUUCUGGGAAUAGUACAAUACAAGUUUUGCCCAGUAUGUCAGGUGCAACUAGCCUCAAGACCCUGGUUCUAGAUGGUUGUGUUGGUUUGGAGCAUGUUGAAGGACUCCCUCCAUCACUUGUAUCAUUCAGCUUUGAUGCAGGACCAAGAAAGGAUGAUUACAAGGAAGCCAAAAUAAGCCACAUCUCCAUGGCUGGUUGUGCAAGAUUGUCUGACUUCACAUUGUGUGGAUCACUUCCAAACCUUGCGGAGCUGGACCUAUCUGGCACAAGAGUCAAGACACUUGAUCUCACAACUCAGGUGGUGCAGGUCCCACGUCUCCAACACAUUAUUCUAUUGGGAUGUAUGCAACUUCAUGCCAUUUUAUGGCCAAAAGAGGGUCUGCCAACACUGACAGUGCUGCAGAUUGGUUCCUCGGUCUAUCCUGUUCAAACAAAACUAUAUGAAGUGUAUGUUACUAUAAUGGACAUAAGGUUUAUUCAGUCCUUGGUAUUACGAAGCAAUGCCCGAUUCUGUUGGAAGAGCAAUAGGUUCCAUCUAAAUCUUUGUGUCCCUUGUACCACCAAUGUUAAGGGAGAAAGCUAUAUGAAGGAGAAGAUGGGCCCUGGUAAUAGUGGGAAAAUAAUGGGUCCACCUCAACCAAAGUCAUUAAACCCCAAUACUUGCAGCACCUACAUUGAUGUCCCUAUUGGCAACAUAAUUAUUGAUCACGACUACAACAAUGGAAUGCAGUUUCAGCCAUCGGGUUGUCAUGUGGAGAUUGGUAUGGGAGUUAGCAACGCUAGCGUGGAGAGUGUAGAAGCAAUCAAGGCUAUCAUCUUUGCAAUGAACCAAUCCGAGUCGUUACAUGUUCAUGACAAUUCUUCCAUCACCACCACUGCCAUCACUGAACACAUGGUGUCUAGUUUUGGGAGGAAUCUUGACUGGAGACAUCUAAAACACUGUCAUGUGGUGAGAUGCCCCAAGAUGCGCACAACCUUCACGACUAACUAUGGUGUCUUCCCUUUUACAGAAAUAGAGACCUUCUGGGCCGCUGAUCUACCGAUGGCACACUGCGUUUGGAGCAAAGGAACGACCUGGAGUGGCACAAACACUGUUUGCUUUGCCAAACUGCGGAGCAUACACCUAUACUCUUGCCCAAGGCUCGAAUUUGUGCUUCCGUUAUUGUGGGGUAUUCAAGGAUCAUACUUGCACAAUUUAGAAAGUCUCCACAUUGUCAACUGUGGUGAUCUAAAGACGGUGUUCCCUGUUCAUCCUGUGCUCAAAGAAAAUGUACUUGAGUUCCCAAGGCUGAAGCACAUCCAUCUGUAUGAGCUCUAUAAGCUGCAGCAUAUAUGUGAGGUGAAGAUGCAUGCGCCCAAGCUUGAGAGGGUAUGGCUGAGGGGCUGCUGGGGCCUCAGGCGCCUCCCCGCCGUCAACCAAGGUAGCCGUCGCCCCGUCGUGGACUGCGAGCAGGACUGGUGGGAGAAGCUGGAGUGGGACGGGCUGGAGGCUGGGCACGACCCUUGCCUCUUCGAGCGACGCCAUUCGUCGCAUUACAAGAAGCCUCUGCCCAGAGUUUCAGUGCUUCGGUGA